rnacentral:rRNA from 1 species
UCUAAGGAUGAAAGUGGGGGGGAUCGCAAGACAUCAUGCUCCUGGAGCGGCCGAUAUCUGAUUAGCUAGUUGGUGAGGUAAAGGCUCACCAAGGCCCCGAUCAGUAGCUGGUCUGAGAGGACGACCACCACACUGGAACUGAGACACGGUCCAGACUCCUACGGGAGGCAGCAGUGGGGAAUUUUGGACAAUGGGCGCAAGCCUGAUCCCAGCAAUGCCGCGUGAGUGAAGAAGGCCUUCGGGUUGUAAAGCUCUUUUGUCAGGGAAGAAACGGCUCGAGCUAAUAUCUUGGGCUAAUGACGGUACCUGAAGAAUAAGCACCGGCUAACUACGUGCCAGCAGCCGCGGUAAUACGUAGGGUGCAAGCGUUAAUCGGAAUUACUGGGCGUAAAGCGUGCGCAGGCGGUUUUGUAAGUCUGUCGUGAAAGCCCCGGGCUCAACCUGGGAAUUGCGAUGGAGACUGCAAGGCUUGAAUCUGGCAGAGGGGGGUAGAAUUCCACGUGUAGCAGUGAAAUGCGUAGAGAUGUGGAGGAACACCGAUGGCGAAGGCAGCCCCCUGGGUCAAGAUUGACGCUCAUGCACGAAAGCGUGGGGAGCAAACAGGAUUAGAUACCCUGGUAGUCCACGCCCUAAACGAUGUCUACUAGUUGUCGGGUUUUAAUUAACUUGGUAACGCAGCUAACGCGUGAAGUAGACCGCCUGGGGAGUACGGUCGCAAGAUUAAAACUCAAAGG